GAGGAUGGAUCCUUCAUCUUCUGCAGCAUCAGAAGAUUCCCUUCCACCCUGCCUGCAUGCUAGUACCAUGACCCAACAGUGCUCCGUGGUACAGCUAUUCUGAAAGGGUCAUCACCUAUGCAAUUACCAGGUGUUGUUGACAAGAAGAGUGCAUCACUGGGUGGCAUUCACAGUCCAGCUGUGACUUCAGUAAUUCGUGUGUAGACUUGGUCUCAGCAACAGACUUCACCUCCAUUGUGAUAUGCAAGGCAGUCCCCACGUAUGCACUGCCACUGCAGACGCAGACACGUCAGAUCUUCAGAAAUGUUUUGCUGAGUGUGCAGAGCAGCUGAUUAUGGUGGUGCUCACCUGCAAUCCCAGCACUUGGGAGCUGAUGCAGGAAGAUCAUGAGUUCAAGGUCAGUGUGGUUCACAAUUUGGCAGGACUCUCAAAAAAAAAAGUGCAAGUAAAACAAAAUCAUUUUCAAUAAAACAAAGAUUUUAACAUUCAAAUCUCCUCUCACAAAACACAACCA
rnacentral:lncRNA from 1 species